rnacentral:tRNA from 1 species
UCUCUGUUAGUGUAUCGGUUAGUACACGCGCCUGUCAUUUCAGAUGGCCGCGCGAAAGCGGGGUUCGACUCCCCGACAGAGAG